rnacentral:rRNA from 1 species
AUUGAACGCUGGCGGCAUGCCUUACACAUGCAAGUCGAGCGGCAGCGCGGACUUCGGUCUGGCGGCGAGUGGCGAACGGGUGAGUAAUACAUCGGAACGUACCCUGUUGUGGGGGAUAACUAGUCGAAAGAUUAGCUAAUACCGCAUACGACCUGAGGGUGAAAGUGGGGGAUCGCAAGGCCUCACGCAGCAGGAGCGGCCGAUGUCUGAUUAGCUAGUUGGUGGGGUAAAGGCCCACCAAGGCGACGAUCAGUAGCUGGUCUGAGAGGACGAUCAGCCACACUGGGACUGAGACACGGCCCAGACUCCGACGGGAGGCAGCAGUGGGGAAUUUUGGACAAAGGGGGCAACCCUGAUCCAGCAAUGCCGCGUGUGUGAAGAAGGCCUUCGGGUUGUAAAGCACUUUUGUCCGGAAAGAAAUAGAGCUGGUUAAUACCUGGCGUGGAUGACGGUACCGGAAGAAUAAGCACCGGCUAACUUCGUG